rnacentral:ncRNA from 1 species
CAGCUGCGAACAACGAAAGGGGCCUCAUUGGCCCCUUUUGUGUGUUGCAACUGUCGUUGUCCAGUUCGCGCACCAACCCUUUGCUUGAGACAAUUGCGGUCGACCCUUCGGCCGGUACUGAUCCGCAGCAAUCUCGCACUUGCACAAGUUUAUCUUGCACUGCAAUAUGGACUGGGGCGGGAAUGCGAGCCGGGUCGGCGCGGUUCACCGCCGUGCCCUUUCGCAUGCCUAAAUGCGAAAGGAUCGGC